UGCUGAGACUUCCCUGAACGUAACCCAGAACCUUACAGCCGCCUGGGAGCGAGGGCGCGAGCUCCAGGGUGGAAGACCAAGUGGAGGCGGCCAGAAGGGACCAAGCUGACAGCUUCGCGGAGCGUUUGCAGCGACUGUGGGACCACGACGCGCUUCGCCACAGCUAGAGGGUGCGACCUGGACCCACGGGGUCACUGGGCUCCCUAGAUGGGAGGAUGCUCCCUGUCCGCUGCGGGAGCCUCCCUUCUAGGACCAGAAGAGAGAAGGGCGCCCGUGUGCGCGCGCGUACACACACACACACACACACACGCACACGCACACGCGCACACACACACACACACACACACACACACACACACACGUAUCCUUCCCCAGGAGUUGCGUUCUCGUCUCCCUUUUGUUUUUCUCCCUUCCCGGUCAUGAGACCCGGAAGUUUUUUUUUUUUUUAAACCUGUCUCUCUCCCUUUUCCAAACCCUCCCCCCCAUCUAUCACAUGGCAGAGAUAGAAUAAAAACAGAAAAAUGGCGACGGUCACGUUGUGGCGAGCCUUGCUGCGUCAUUAGAUAAUCCUCAUGCAAAUAGCGGGAAGAACAAAGGAAGGGGGGGCCCAGGACCCCCGGGGGCGCAGGGUGCUGGCGUGGGUUCCUCGCCGUCCGGCGGCGACUGUAAAUAGAGCCUGGAUGUUGUUUACAUGAAGGAUCCGGCGGGAGGAGUCUGCGAGGAGGAGGCGGAGGAGGAGGGAGGGAGGAGAGAGGAAGAACGGAGUCCCCGCGGCGGCGGCGGUCCGGGGUGAGGGGGAGCCCCGCGCGGCGUCCAGGGACCGGACGCUACCACGAGGCCGGGACGCUGGACCCUAGGAAGGGGGAAGGGACUUGGAGAUCGCCUGCUCCUGGCCGCAACUGAACCCACGGCUUCUCCCUGCCUUCCCGGGCCAAGGAAUCUUUUCCCUCACUCAGCUACCCGCAUGCCAGCUGCCACCUUUUUGGAGAAGGACCACACCUGUGCUUAUUCUCGCUUUGGAGGAGAGAUGCAGGACUAAAAGCUCUGAGAAUGGUGGACUCUGCAGGAAAGAGGAGUUUAAUUGUGUUUCUGGAACGGCUCAGCGUUCUAGAACUUGAGGUCAGUGAAAGUCUUUGGUAUUGCCCCUGUUAGCUGGCCCUUCAGGGAAUUUCAAAAUCUAAGACCCGGCAUUUUUACAUGGCAGUGCUGUAAUAAUGAGGAAGUCAUAGAUUAAUUAGAGACAGGGUGUUUAGAGAUGGUUAGCUUAGGUAGAUCAUUUUGAAUAGUUAUUUUAAAAAGAUUUAAUACAGGGGCGCCUGGGUGGUGCAGUCGGUUAAGCGUCCGACUUCAGCCAGG